rnacentral:rRNA from 1 species
UCGCCUACGGGGCGCAGCAGUGGGGAAUAUUGCGCAAUGGGCGAAAGCCUGACGCAGCGACGCCGCGUGAGGGAUGAAGGUCUUCGGAUCGUAAACCUCUGUCAGCAGGGAAGAACGGUCACUGUGCUAAUCAGCAGUGAAUUGACGGUACCUGCAAAGGAAGCACCGGCUAACUCCGUGCCAGCAGACGCGGUAAUACGGAGGGUGCGAGCGUUAAUCGGAAUUACUGGGCGUAAAGAGCUCGUAGGCGGGAUGUCAAGUCAAGGGUGACAUCCCAGCUCUCAACGUGGGAACUGCCUUUGAAA